AAAUGAUCAUAAACGGACAUAGUUCUCUUUGUGGACACAGAGCAGUUAUCUCCCAUGCAGCUUGCCACCACAUGGAAUGGUUGAGGAGAAUAGAUGCAUUUAAAGGAAGGCAGUGUGUCGCAAGGAUGGACACUUGGCCGAUGCAUGGCUGGAGUGUGACGGCAAGUCCUGUGAUGAAACCUCCAGGAAUACAUUUAUAAUAGUUGGCAACCCUAACAGUAACUACCAUUCUGAGAAGUUGGUCUCUGCAGUGCAUCUGGCUGCCCAACGGGAGCCUCCAUCUAAGGAGAAAGCUGAAAAAGAGAAUAAUUCAAGGAAACAUGACACACUCAUUCACAAAGCGAAGGAGCAUAUGUAAGCUAUCCAGUCGUGAAGUCAAUCAUUGAAUUAUAUACUGGCUAAGCACAGGAGGUGGUCAUUUGGCUCAUCGGGUCCAUACUAGUUCUCUACGCAACCAACUCAUCUAGUCCCACGCCCCUGCUCUUUCCCCAUUGCCCUGCCAAUUUUCUCACUUAAGGCACUUAUUCCCUUUUAAAAGUCAUGUUUGAAUCUGUCUCCACCACACUCUCAAUCAAUGAAUUCCAGAACCUAACCAUUUGCUGUGUGAAAAUCUUUUCCUCAUGUCAUCAUUGGUUCUUUUGCCAUUCAUCUUAAUUCAUCGACCCAUCCUCCAAUGGAGAGGUUUUUCUCUCUUUACUCUAGACGGCUCAUGAUUUUGAACACUUCUAUCAAAUCGCCACCCAACCUUCUCUUCUCUAAGAGGAACAACCCCACUUCCAACCCAUCCUCAUAGCUGAACUCCUAAGACCUGGAACCUGCUCUCACUUACAGCCAAAAAUGCCCCAAUGUGAAGACCCUUUCCUGCAGUAGCAGAUGAAGAAUGAAAUAAAGAGGCCGCGGGGGGGGGGCAUGAUACUCGCUACAGAAUAGCCCAGGCAAUCAAAGCCCCGACCUCAACCACCUUCGCUGACCUCAAGUUCGCCAACAUCAUUCUGCGGGCCAAUUGGGUCGUUGAGAAUGGUGUCUAUCUGCAGCCAGUCUCAUAGAGUCAAGCAGCAGCUACUUCUUCAUUCCCCCUCCCCCACCACCCCUUGGCCUGCGGAGGCACUCUCAAAAGGACUAUCGAUUUUGACCCUCUGUGCAACAUUGAGCAGGAGUGCAAUAGUGUCCAAGAAACAGGGAGCAGAAUUUUAUAUUCGGCGUGCGGAGGCGGGUCUUACACACCGGAACAUAAAAUGAUGCGUGAUAACGGUUGGCGGGCAGGCGAAAAGUCCAAAGCGGCCUCUACGUUUUUUAGGAAACUUCAUCCAUGAGCAGGAUGAGAUUUCCUAAAACUUUUACAAAUUGAAUAAAAACUUUUCUUGAAAAAUAAAAA